GAAAUGCGUAGUCGAUGGGAAACAGGUUAAUAUUCCUGUACCUGACAUUAUUGCGAUGGAGUGACGGAGAAGGCUAAACUAGCAUGGCGAUGGUUGUCCAUGUUUAAGGUUGUAGGCUGAGGACUUAGGUAAAUCCGGGUCCUUAAGGCUGAGAGCUGAUGACGACGAACUACGGUUCGGAAGUAGUUGAUGCCCGGCUUCCAGGAAA
rnacentral:rRNA from 1 species